UAAGUGUUAAAAACUAUUCGAUUGUAGUACAAAGUGCAUGCGGAUUUUACGUUAUAAAUUCAUCAAUAAUAUUUUGUUUCUUACAUACAAAACAAACAAAAAUGUCUAAAACUCUCUUGUUCAUUUCUUCUACUAUCCUCUUCCAUUUCUUAUUUCUUAUAACCUACAUCGAAUAUUUUGGUCCCUGCACUUCAGACUCUGAUUGUCCAAAUUAUCUAUGUAGCACCAAUGGAAUUGGGAAGUGUUCUUCGUAUGGUUGUACAUGUGUGUAUAACCCUUAAGUAAUUACUUUAUGUUAGUUCUAGUCACAAUCUUAUAACUCUGAUGUAUGAUUUAUCUCAAGCUAGCGUAGAUUUAGAUUUAUAUAUAUAUAUAUAUAUAUAUCACAUUUAUGUUCUUUGCCAAAUAAGCAUAUUAAAUUAUGCAAGUGUUCUUGUCUAUCUUUAUUUUAGAAGAUAUAGAGAGUUAAUGUCACUACAUGAUUAAUGUUUUUUUUUUUACAAAAUAAUAUGUUAGUUACUUGAUAGCAAUGUGAAUUUAUUUAUUUUUUUUAUUACAAGCAAUGUGAAUAAAUAAAUGGGUAAAUGGUUGCUUACCCGGUAAAAUUAGAUAAAUUUGAUUUA